rnacentral:rRNA from 1 species
GACGAACGCUGGCGGCGUGCCUAAUACAUGCAAGUCGAGCGGACAGAAGGGAGCUUGCUCCCGGAAGUUAGCGGCGGACGGGUGAGUAACACGUGGGCAACCUACCCUGUAGAUCGGGAUAACAUCGAGAAAUCGGUGCUAAUACCGGAUAAUCAUUUGAAGUGCAUGCUUCGAAUGUAAAAGAUGGCUCCGGCUAUCACUACGGGAUGGGCCCGCGGCGCAUUAGCUAGUUGGUAAGGUAAUGGCUUACCAAGGCAACGAUGCGUAGCCGACCUGCGAGGGUGAUCGGCCACACUGGGACUGGGACACGGCCCGGACUCCUACGGGAGGCAGCAGUAGGGUAUCUUCCGCAAUGGACGAAAGUCUGACGGAGCAACGCCGCGUGAGUGAUGAAGGUUUUCGGAUCGUAAAGCUCUGUUGUUAGGGAAGAACAAGUGCCGUUUGAAUAAGGCGGCACCUUGACGGUACCUAACCAGAAAGCCACGGCUAACUACGUGCCAGCCGCCGCCGUAAUAC